GGCUAUGAGUGAGACCUCGGGGUCCACCUCCCACCCGUGUUUAACGAACCUUUGUUGCUUCGGCGGGCCCGCCUCACGGCCGCCGGGGGGCUCCUGCCCCCGGGCCCGCGCCCGCCGAAGCCCCCCCUUGAACGCUGUCUGAAGUUUGCAGUCUGAGAAACUAGCUAAAUUAGUUAAAACUUUCAACAACGGAUCUCUUGGUUCCGGCAUCGAUGAAGAACGCAGCGAAAUGCGAUAACUAAUGUGAAUUGCAGAAUUCAGUGAAUCAUCGAGUCUUUGAACGCACAUUGCGCCCUCUGGUAUUCCGGAGGGCAUGCCUGUCCGAGCGUCAUUGCUGCCCUCAAGCACGGCUUGUGUGUUGGGCCCCCGUCCCCCCCUCUGCCGGGGGGACGGGCCCGAAAGGCAGCGGCGGCACCGCGUCCGGUCCUCGAGCGUAUGGGGCUUCGUCACCCGCUCUUGUAGGCCCGGCCGGCGCCAGCCGACCCCAACCCUAAAUUUUUUUCAGGUUGACCUCGGAUCAGGUAGGGAUACCCGCUGAACUUAAGCAUAUCAAUAAGCGGAGGAAUCAUUACUGAGUGAGGGCCCCUCGGGGUCCAACCUCCACCCGUGUUUAACGAACCUUUGUUGCUUCGGCGGGCCGCCUCACGGCCGCCGGGGGGCUCCUGCCCCGGGCCGCGCCGCCGAACCCCCCCUUGAACGCUGUCUGAAGUUUGCAGUCUGAGAAACUAGCUAAAUUAGUUAAAACUUUUCACACGGAUCUCUGGUUUCGCAUGAUGAAGAACGCAGCAAUGGGAUACUAAUGUGAAUUGCAGAAUCAUGAAUCAUCGUCUUGAACGCAUUGGCUCGGCUAUUCGAGGCAUGCUGUCGACGUCAUGCUGCUCAACCAGCCUGUGUGUGUGGGACCGCUCCUCUCCGGGACAGGCAAAGAAAGAGCAACGACGCUCUACAGUAAGAU
rnacentral:rRNA from 1 species